rnacentral:rRNA from 1 species
UACAGAGGUCCCAAGCGUUGUUCGGAUUCACUGGGCGUAAAGAGCUCGUAGGCGGCUUGUUGCGUCAGCUGUGAAAACCCGCAGCUCAACUGUGGGCUUGCAGCUGAUACGGGCAGGCUUGAGUUCGGUAGGGGAGACUGGAAUUCCUGGUGUAGCGGUGAAAUGCGCAGAUAUCAGGAGGAACACCGAUGGCGAAGGCAGGUCUCUGGGCUGACACUGACGCUCAUGCACGAAAGCGUGGGGAGCAAACAGG